UAUCCACUGUUUGUGGACUUGAUGUCAAAAUGAUAAGCUGUUCUAGCAUCACUGUCCAAGUUAGUCGUUUAUAAAGGCACUUCUAUGAGAGGCACGCUAUGUAGGCCUUCUUCAUCUCAUGUGACUUAUUAAAGUAAAAAAAUGUAUAUAUACAGUACAAGAACGCCAGUUUAGGACAGCUUCUAUACAACAUAAAACCACCUUCACUUUUCAGGCCCGCAAGUUGAAUAAGCUCAGGCUUGUAAACCUUUCACCCCCAAUUCUCUCCUUAUAUUCUCUACAACCUCCCCCUUCUCCCCAUGGAAGUAGCCUACGUCAGCAUAUUGGAUUUAAUCCCAUAUUUACCAGGGCUCAAACCUCAUCAUGUGAGGCUUAUGCUUCCGACUGGCCCUGACCCUACAUGGUUGCCAAGAGCCCAGCAAAAGGGAUCACUUCAACUGCUAUACUGACAAGUAGUUCCUGAUUGGUUGCUGCUAUUAACCACCUGUAACAUUGUAGGAUAGUGGAAACAACCGCAAGGAGACCAAGCGAUGAGGGGCAGAACAGAUAAGUCUUUAAUGUUCCAAACUAGGACCUCCCCAACAGAGGUCCAAAUACAUCACCAGAGCAUUGACAACAGAAACAAAAGCGCCCUAAACCACAACCAGCAUAUUCUGCUAGAAGACAACAAACGAAGAUCAUAAUCUCUACUUACUCAGCAAAACCUGGAAAAGGCUGGAAGGCAACAAAAGGGUUCUCAAGCACAAACCAACACAUACUCAACACAUACUACAUGUGGCCCACAGAAAAACUGGUUCAUUAAAUUUGAUCCAGUUUUUCUGUGGGUGGAAGAAAGAGGGAGCGUACGGUGUACUUCUUGCUCCCGAACUCGUAAGUUAAUAGGAAAAAACUGAAAACCAGUGAGCUCUCGACCUUGUAGGGUACCUGGUAGAACAGAAAACCAGGAGGAUCUCAACCUUCUAGUGCACCAGGUAGAACAAAAAACAAAGCAGCAUGAAAUAAAUAUCAAAUUCUGAGACAGAGAGGCCAUCUCCAAAAGAGAUCCGAGGACUUAUUGAACAUAUUCAAUUAAAUACCAAAAGCUAAAACAACCAAACAAGCAGCAGUGUUCU